GCUGUUAAAAGUAUCAUUAUCAAUCAUCAUCUCACUCAGAGCUCAGACUUACUUUACUCUUCGAUAGUGUCUCAUUUUACAUGCUGAGAAAACAACAGGUAACCUGUUCUACCCACAAAGCAGACUCAAAGAUAAUUGUUUUAUUUCAUUAUUUAAAUUUUUAGACAGAGAAGAAAGAGAGAGAAUAAUGAAGAGAGAACAACAACACACAAGAUCACAGGAGAAGAGUUGUUAUAAACUCCUUAGAUAUGAGAGCAUCGUUACACGACCAAACUUCGCUCAUGAUGAUAACAGACCAACAGAUUAUGCAUCAGAGAGACAACACAACAAAAGCCACUUGGAAUUCAGUGGACAAUGAGACACACAUGCAAAAUGAGAAUUCAGAGACGAUUAAUUACGUAAAGAAAAUCUGCUAUACUUUUACGAAAAUGGGCCAAAGGUGCAGAGGAUGCCAUAUUUUUUACAUUGCCUCCCAUUGACAAAUCGCUUCACUGUAUUGUUUCCUUUAUCUUCUCUGUAAGUCGCUUUGGAUAAAAGCAUCUGCUAAAUGCCUGAAUGUAAAUGUUAUUUGUGCAGUUGUAUAGUUGUGUACCGUAUUGUGUUGCAUGACCAGUUCACAUUGUUCUUUGGUUUUUGAACUGUUCUUGUCUUGUAAGAUCAUCUUCAUCUACUUUACAGUAGUGUAUGUUUUAUUUGUAUUCUUUCCUAAAGCUCAUUCUUCCAUUUAGCUCUAUCUGCACUCUUUUAUGGUGUAUAUUUAAAUUUUUCUUGAAUCUCAAUAAGAGGUUUUAGUAACAGUGUUUUGAAUUGAACUCACCAGUGUCUAAGACUAUGUUGUAGUGUGGGUGUUUUUGAGGGCUUCUGUGUCAUUUCUGGAGGGAAAGUUUGGUUUUUCAGCAAGUUUGAAUGAUUUUGAGAAGAGUUUCAUUUUGACCUGAAAAUAGGAUGUUUGGGGAAUUGGGUGAGAUGUUAUGGAUUUGUGUUUACUGUUUUGAGAAUAUGAGGCAUAAUUUCAAGAAAUGUGUUUAAGCAAUCAAGAAAAACUGUAAACAAAUUGGUGAUGUUGAUAGGGUAACAAAAAGAGAUGUCAUUUUGAAUCAAACCUUCACUAUAUGUUUUGUGUAAUGUAUGUGUCACACUUUUCACCUGUCCUGCACCUAUUGUAAUGCAAUAACUUUCCCAUCAAAAUCCAAUUGAGGUUAUUGUUACUGCAAACCCUUCAAUGAUGUACGGUGCCGGCUAAACAUUUUUGGAAAAAAAUUAAUCUGGCACAACUUGCCUACUUAUCCUCAUGAUUCUGUCAGACCCUGUAUAUAAAUCUCCCAUUUUACUAGAUGGAAAAUUGUAUUUUCUUUAUUCUAAAAAAUUAAAUAAAAUCAUUGAAUGUGAAAUAUAAACGAUUUCAAUUCAUUUAUUUAUUUCAUAUCAAUUCAGAAUUUUAAUUAAUGUACUUUGCUUUUCAUACCUUAAGCAUGUUAUUUGGCAAUGUUGUGAAUAUUUUAUAAAUAAAUAAUGUAUAGUCACUAUUACACACUAGGGGGCGUAUUACCAGAACACCAACAGUACAUUAAAAAAAAAAAAGAGAACACCCUUUUCUAAGGUCCAGUAUCUUUGUUCAAGGUUUUAAAGGAGCAAGCAGUCUAUUUAUUUAUAAAUAAACAUGCUGAGCAGUUUGGACAUUGUUAACAAUAUAAUUCAAAUUAUAAAUAUUAAAAACGCACGCAUUUUCUAUCGUCAUGUAAAUUCUAUGUAAAAAAUCUUCUCAGAUAAACAAUUUUGCUAAACCCAUUUUGCGUUUAAAUCUUUCAGAAAUGUUUCUUUUCAAACAGUUGUCAUUUUACUAAGAUGUGACAGAGGCUAUUCACGUGAAGUCUUUCUCUAAAAAUCUUGUGUGUGACUGGGGUUAAUCUUGUCUGGGAAACCAGCCCUCUCGGUUAUUCAAGGUCAAAGCUUUUGAAAACAAGUACCCAAGUACAGUCUUUUCCCAUGUUUAUACUUUCCGCAAAUGUUCUUUUGUCACUAAAAGCUGUAAAUUACAAAGCUGUUCAUGUUUGAUCACAAUCUUAUCGUAGGGGCCACACUCCUGUUCCUGCUGAACUGAG